AACGAACGCUGGCGGCAUGCCUAACACAUGCAAGUCGAACGAAGGCUUCGGCCUUAGUGGCGCACGGGUGCGUAACGCGUGGGAAUCUGCCCUUUGCUUCGGAAUAACAGUUAGAAAUGACUGCUAAUACCGGAUGAUGUCGCAAGACCAAAGAUUUAUCGGCAAAGGAUGAGCCCGCGUAGGAUUAGCUAGUUGGUGGGGUAAAGGCCUACCAAGGCGACGAUCCUUAGCUGGUCUGAGAGGAUGAUCAGCCACACUGGGACUGAGACACGGCCCAGACUCCUACGGGAGGAAGCAGUGGGGAAUAUUGGACAAUGGGCGAAAGCCUGAUCCAGCAAUGCCGCGUGAGUGAUGAAGGCCUUAGGGUUGUAAAGCUCUUUUACCCGGGAUGAUAAUGACAGUACCGGGAGAAUAAGCUCCGGCUAACUCCGUG
rnacentral:rRNA from 1 species